UACGUAGGGGGCAAGCGUUAUCCGGAUUUACUGGGUGUAAAGGGAGCGCAGACGGAACUGCAAGUCUGAUGUGAAAGCCCGGGGCUCAACCGCGGGACUGCAUCGGAUACUGUAGAUCUGGAGUGCCUGGAGGGCAAGCGGAAUUCCUGGUGUAGCGGUGAAAUGCGUAGAUAUCAGGAGGAACACCGGCGGCGAAGGCGGCUUGCUGGACGGCAACUGACGUUGAGGCUCGAAAGCGUGGGGAGCAAACAGGAUUAGAUA
rnacentral:rRNA from 1 species